rnacentral:rRNA from 1 species
GACGAACGCUGGCGGCGUGCUUAACACAUGCAAGUCGAACGGUAAGGCCCUUCGGGGUACACGAGUGGCGAACGGGUGAGCAACACGUGGGUGAUCUGCCCUGCACUUCGGGAUAAGCCUGGGAAACUGGGUCUAAUACCGGAUAGGACUCCGGACUGCAUGGUCUGGGGUGGAAAGCUUUUGCGGUGUGGGAUGGGCCCGCGGCCUAUCAGCUUGUUGGGGGGGUGAUGGCCUACCAAGGCGACGACGGGUAGCCGGCCUGAGAGGGUGACCGGCCACACUGGGACUGAGAUACGGCCCAGACUCCUACGGGAGGCAGCAGUGGGGAAUAUUGCACAAGGGGCGCAAGCCUGAUGCAGCGACGCCGCGUGAGGGAUGACGGCCUUCGGGUUGUAAACCUCUUUCAGCAUCGACGAAGCGAAAGUGACGGUAGGUGCAGAAGAAGGACCGGCCAACUACGUGCCAGCCGCCGCCGUAA